CCUACGGGAGGCAGCAGUGAGGAAUAUUGGUCAAUGGGCGGGCGCCUGAACCAGCCAAGUCGCGUGAGGGAAGACUGUCCUAUGGGUUGUAAACCUCUUUAGUCGGGGAGCAAUGCCGGGCACGCGUGCCCGGAGUGAGAGUACCCGCAGAAUAAGCAUCGGCUAACUCCGUGCCAGCAGCCGCGGUAAUACGGAGGAUGCGAGCGUUAUCCGGAUUUAUUGGGUUUAAAGGGUGCGUAGGCGGAUUGUUAAGUCAGCGGUAAAAUGUCGGGGCUCAACCCGGGCCCGCCGUUGAAACUGGGGUUCUUGAGUGGGCGAGAAGUAUGCGGAAUGCGUGGUGUAGCGGUGAAAUGAAUAGAUAUCACGCAGAACUCCGAUUGCGAAGGCAGCAUACCGGCGCCCGACUGACGCUGAGGCACGAAAGCGUGGGGAUCGAACAGGAUUAGAUACCCGUGUAGUC
rnacentral:rRNA from 1 species